rnacentral:rRNA from 1 species
UACGUAGGGUGCGAGCGUUAAUCGGAAUUACUGGGCGUAAAGGGUGCGCAGGCGGUUGGGUAAGUCAGAGGUGAAAGCCCCGGGCUCAACCUGGGAACUGCAUUUGAAACUGGCGGGCUUGAGUAUGGCAGAGGGGGGUGGAAUUCCGCGUGUAGCAGUGAAAUGCGUAGAGAUGCGGAGGAACACCGAUGGCGAAGGCAGCCCCCUGGGCCAAUACUGACGCUCAGGCACGAAAGCGUGGGGAGCAAACAGG